CCUAGAGUUGUAGGCUUUGCCUGCUAUCUCUUUACCCAUGUCUUUUGAGUACCUUACGUUUCCUCCUCGGUGGGUUCGCCCACCGAUUGGACAAACUUAAACCCUUUGCAGUUGAAAUCAGGCGUCUGAAAAAACUUAAUAGUUA
rnacentral:misc_RNA from 1 species